UCAUUGGGGUAGCCCCCAAAGUAUUGGGAUGUAUAAAAAAAAGACAACUCUGUUCCGCAGAGUAGAUGUUGACAUUAUAGUUGCGCAGGAACUUUAUUGACUCUAAAGAACCUCGGGCAAAUCGCACAUCACCGUGCGGAUGUCAUCCAUAUCAACUUUCGAUGCCAGUUUCUGCGCCUACCAUGGUGACCACGAGUAACGGGGAAUCAGGGUUCCAUUCCGUACAGGGACCCUGAGAAAUGGCUACCACAUGCAAGGAAGGCAGCAGGCGUGCAAAUGACCCACUCCCGACGCGGGAUGGUAGUGAUGA